AUUGAACGCUGGCGGAAUGCUUUACACAUGCAAGUCGAGCGGCAGCGCGGGGCAACCUGGCGGCGAGCGGCGAACGGGUGAGUAAUACAUCGGAACGUACCCAAUCGUGGGGGAUAACACAUCGAAAGAUGUGCUAAUACCGCAUAAGUCCUGAGGGAGAAAGCGGGGGAUCGCAAGACCUCGCGCGGAUGGAGCGGCCGAUGGCGGAUUAGCUAGUUGGUGGGGUAAAGGCCUACCAAGGCGACGAUCCGUAGCUGGUCUGAGAGGACGACCAGCCACACUGGAACUGAGACACGGUCCAGACUCCUACGGGA
rnacentral:rRNA from 1 species